AAGAAACUAUACGCUAUUUCAUACCAUAAGCUUGUUGAUGCGUUUAUCUAGGUUUGAAGCAGCUUCAGGAACCUUUUGAUGGAAAAGUAAUGAAUAUGAUGAUAACGAAAGAAAAGUUCAUGACCCUAUUGGAAUUACUGGCUAAAAAAGAUUUAAAAAGCCAUUUUUGAUACAAAUUGAAAGAACACAGAAUUGUGCCUGGCAAUAUUUGUCAGUGGAUCGAGUUGACAGUUUACAGACUUAUGUAUGAUCAGCCAUAGUCUACCAGUCGCUAUAGUCGAGAUGGCCCUACGACGCUAAUCAACAACCCCAUAAUAUAAUAAUCCAUAAGCAUUCAGCCAAAACUUAGCCUUGUUUGGUAAUAAGAGAAAUAAAAAAUCCAUAGUUAGAUCGCCUAAUACUGUUAAAUGCAUAAUUCUCUUCGAUUUAUUAAUUACUAUAGCCACUAAUUAGUAAUUACUAGCCCUACGUCGACCAUUAACCAACAGCCCCAUAAUAAUUAUUUAUGUAAUUAUUAAUUAUUCAAAAAAUGGCCUGAUUUUAUAGGAAAAAAUUUGUUUAAAAUUAAAAUAUUCACGAAUAAGUGACAGUAGCGGCUGAAAUUUUCUAUGCAGCUUAUUUCCGCUGGUACCUAAAGCCGCGAAUAAAUAUUCAAUGGGGGUUGCUAUUUCGAGUAAGAUCACGAAGUCCGGAUUUUUCUCGGCGAGUUCGCGCGGGUCGUUGCACCCUCGGCUUGACGUUGGGUGGCGGUUCUAUUUGAUUUCUGGCUAGCAUACAAAACUAAUUAAGGCCAAGACAAACCAUCCGGGACUGGGAUAAAACUUAUUUAUAGAGGCGACUAAUUUUGAAAAACGGCCGAUGGUGUUUUUGCGCAAUGGGCUGCCUCGGCCCCCAAGAUCCCCGAUAAUUCGUCGUUCGAUUAAGAAAUUCUGCAACUCAGAUUAUGCCCCUGUAUCGAUCGGUUAAUUUAUAGAAAUACAUUUCAAAGAAAUUUUACAUUUUUGAAGGAAUAAAAAUUUCAGCGAAUUUGUAUUUUCAGGUAGAUAAGUUAAACGCUUUGUAUAGAAUUUAAUCGAAUCUUUUUAUCCUAAGUUUAGCGGAAAAAAUAGUUUGAGAAUCUGUGACGUGAUACGUUUGUCGAAAUUGGUGAAAUUUGAUAGAACGAGAAAUUUUACUAACACGUUAUAUCAACAUAUUAUUUAAUUGGAUAAAAGAAGCUUGAGAAUGUUUGAAGAAUCGUGUUUGUCGAAGUUGAGUCUUGAACCAUUGGCUAAAGGGAAAUACGUAGCAUACUCUCGGAAUAGUAACAUGUGAUACAAGCACUUACCACACUUGAAGCACAUCUUGUGCCAUUUGAGUCCUCCGGCGACGCGUUCUUCCGCGGCGUAUACGGAUUUGCCGCAUUUGGGACACUUGGGGUGUUCUACUGGCUUAAAAGGCAUUUUGUCUGUACUGAAAAACAAAGAAAAAUCUUCGAUUAUUAUCUCGAUUAUUAUCGACUAUUCUAAAAUAUUUCGUUUAUUUAUUUUCCCAUAUGUUUACCACUCUUCUAUAGGUAUGAACAUUUUAUUUAUUUUCACAUUUUUCAGAUUAUUUUCCAAAUAAUUAAAGAUCAAAUUUAUCCUAUUGUGUGCUGUGAUGGAAUAUUUUACGAAAGUUUUCGAAGAAGAUCGAGGCGAGAAGAUUGGAAUUGAAAUGUGGAGAGUAAGUCUCGUAUUUUUCGUAUAUUUUACAGUGCAUAAACAACGAAUAACAAUAACACCGGUAACUCAGCCACCGAUUACCUAAUCCCGCAAGAGGAACAUAAACAGUUUCAAUCUCCGCCCUACUGCCGGAGAACGAAUCUAUUUUUACCAAGUUCGAAUCGCAACGUGUAUUCUCGGUGGCUAAUAUCCGCGAAAAAUACGGACAAAAGAACAAAAACGAAGAAAUUAAGUUUUUUCAGGAAUUUAUUACGAUCACAACAUACCAUCUUAUGAAACAUUGGAAUUAACUUGAUUGACAAUGUCGAUAUUAAUUGAUAUUGUCGAUUAACAUACUGUAUGUUAACCCAUUGAUAAAAUUAAUCUCAAUUCUUCAUCGAACGAUCUGUAUUCAUAGAAACGGGACGAAGAACGUAAUGGAAUGAUGAAAAUUGCAAUAAUCCAUUCUAAGAAAAGGCCACACGGUUCCCUUAAAGUUUCGUUAAUCAUCAUUCAUACGUCGCAAGGAGCUCUUAAUAGAAAUGAUAAUAAAAUUACUCUAGAAUGGGAAUUCGAUACUUAAAUAUUGCAAGGAAAAGGAUUUUUAAAUGCUAUUCUUCGUCAGUCAAAGAUAAAAUCAGUCAGUCAGACGAGCUUUGAAAGAUUGGAAAUUUUUAAAUUUCCCGCCACGUGGCUUAACAUAACCUAAAAUAAACAUAGGUGUAAAAGGCUGAGGAGUAAAAUAAACAUGACGACAAAUAAAUCAUUCGUGUGCCAAAUAUCAGAAGUCGUAUUGCAGAGAUAAACAUGCUAUUCGAAAUACAAAGUUGCAAAUGUGGAAGUUUCGACGAUGUGACUUUUGGAAGCGGCUCUGGUGACGAGUAUACUGACCACGGUAUUAGUAGAAACGCUAGAGAGACCACGAGAGAUCAGGAAGAGAGACAGAGGAUUCUAUAUCCGUGCAGACGCAAGCCGGAUCGCGAGGCCGUAUUAGGGAAGGUGCUAGAUUCUCCACAACGCGGUCGCCAUUACCCCUACCUUCGCGUCCAGUUGGUCCUUCCUAACCUAUACAUCGUUUUUCAUGUUGUCUAUAUCUACUCUUUCAAUAUUGUCUAAGAUAACAAAAUUAUUUAAUUUGUGACUCGACUAACUGACGAAAUAUUUCAAUGCCUAUUCGGUAUUUGCAAAUCUUCCUAACCUAUUCUUCAUUUUCUUCCAUUUGCCUCGGUACUUUUCCAUCAUGAUCAAGGACGAUCAAAUUAUUUCAUCGUAAUUCGGCUAACUGAUAAAAAGUUUCAUUGAUUUCCUAAUCUGUAUUUCAUUUUCUCUCAAUAUCUAAAAUAACAGAAAUAUUUUCUCGUAAUUUCGAUAACCGAUCAAGUUUGAAAGUCUUGUCAAUAUUUCGAUCUUAAAUAAAAAUUUCUGAUCGACAAAAGAAAUAAAUUUUAGAAAUAUUGAAACGAGAUAAUAGUGGAUUAUAAGAUCUAUGAUGACCCUAACGUGAAUUCGAAAUUCGAAUCCCGUCUCUUCUGGUGAAUUCGAUCGAGAAACUUGGUAACUUAACUUCCAAGUAUUCUAUCGGGUGAGUCAUCAGGAAAAAGUAACGACGAUACUUUGUACGCGGUUGUUUGUACAUACAUAUCUCCGUCUAUGUUACAUCAUAAGAGCCGAAGAAUGUCUUCUCCACCCCCGUGUAUACUAAAUCCGGACGAUCUCAAAUUUCAUUGCGUUUUAGCGAACCCGUCACGCGUUUUAACUUUACGGCCCGCGUAAUUCUGCUGUGUAAGACGCGUCUGACUAAAUGUAGCUUUCCACUCGGACAAACAUUCUCGUCAAAUUUUCCGAUCCUCUGGCUUAACACCGAAAAUUACGAAAGCCAAAUUCUUCAUCCUCCGAUACGCUUGAAUUCUUUUAAUUGCCAUUCCAACAAUUCUUUGUCCAGUAUAAAAUAUACUUUGGUAGCGAGAGAUGAGAAUCGAAAUGAUACUCGAGCUUUGCCUGAAAAAUUAUUCGCUCAACGACCAUAAGAAGAAAAAUAUGACAAGAUCAACAGUUUUGUCAAUUUUCUGACUUUUGCGUCGUUUGUUUGCCAAAAGAGAAUAUUCUAAUAUAACGUUGUCAGUUGCAGAGAAAAAUGGGCUAAAGCUACAAACUGCAGCGUAUUCAAAGAGCCAAGGGUAUAUUCUGUCACACGAAAGAAUUCAAAGAUACUAUUCAAAUUCGAUGCUGUAGGACCUAAUGAUCUAAGGCGACAAAAUAAUCUCCUCGUAAGCCAAUUAACCGCUGAAAAUGUUUGCAAUGCUUGCAAGGUACUAAGCUUAUUUUCCACCAAAUGCCAUUGUCUGAAAUAACAAAAUUGAAGUCUUUCGUAGGUCGGUCGGGAAACGUAACAAUUUUACCUCCUGCGAUCUUCACUUUGAAUACCAACGUAAUAGAAGAGGGAUAACUGCGAAAUUCUCACUUCCAAUAUGAUCCUUAUUAUAGAAAGCAACUAACUACGAGUUGGAAUCUCCAAACGCAAAAUUAUCCAAACUUAUUAGAAGAGGGACAUAACUCCAAAUAUCUCACUUCCAAUCGACAAUUCGAUCGACAUCGAAAACCAACCACUCUCUAACGUUUUCUUGGGAGAAUCCUGAAAAUGGGUGUGUUGUAGGUUGUACGAUGAUGUCUGGAUGGCCGUGGAACACUGUUGCUUACUUGCUCGCUGCGUGUACUCUACUACUCACCACCGGAUGUCGGGUUCGAAGUCACGAAAAUGAAAAUCGGUAAACUCGGGGAGGAAGACAGGCGUGAAAGAUGAAAAAACACCGAGUAGCACUCUACACCGCACUAAUACUGGAUUCGAAUGGCUGUUCUCGCGUCGUGCCCGUCCUAGUCAUAGCCAGACCUUUGCACACGGCACGUGUGCAUCGGAACGUCAGUGCUGUUGACGACAGCGUCGCGGCGGCAAGAGGGAGUUACACUAGCCGCCUUCCAUCUAGCGGGGGUGUUACACUAUACUUUGGGAUACCGAAACGGCCGCUACUCGUUAACUCGCUUUUCUUUUCUUCGCGCCUUAUCCUGACUCACUGUCGCUUGAUUCCAUAAGAAUUCCAAGCGAUCCUACAUAUUUAUCUGAAUUUCUAUCUCUAUAGACACAAUCGGAGGAACAGCACAUCAGCUCCUAUUUGUUUUAUUUCCAUGUUUUACACAAUUUUGCACGUUGCGAGAAUUCUGUGCAGCUUUGCAUCUUUAAAUGUCGCAUAGAGUCCAAAUUACAUGGUUACAUGACUGUAGCUCCUUUUUGCUAUGGAAUGUUCCACAAAUUAGGAUAAUGGGGUUUGGAAGAAGUUGCGACGAUCAGGACACGUUUGGAAUUUUAGAAUCCAAGUUACAUGAUAUUUGGUGUGGCCGCUUUGCGUUGUUGAAUAUUUCACAAACUGGAGAUGUUAGUGCGAAUUUUCAGGAAAUUGAAGUAAUUAAGAGAUAUGGAAGUUGGUAGAGGAUAUUGGACAUUAGUCUGUUGCUGCUUAUUGCUGUGCAACUUUUGACAAGUUGAGAAUAUUAACGUCAUCAGUGUCGCUUCUAUCAAUGAGUCGUAAGAACAUUGGAUGUGAGGUAGUAGAACCCUUGUUUUAUGGCUGCUUUUGUUACCGCCUGAUAAGUAAUCUAAUAGAUCUUAUUCUAUGACUAUUUCUAUCGUAGUCUGACAAGAAAAUAUUAAUAAGGAAAUUAAAACGAAACUUGAUUCUAUACGAAGAAGAACAAUGUAAAGGAAUUUUAUAUGAACAAACGAUAUGAAAGAAACACAAAUUUCGAACAGUCUUGAUUCUCGUACCUGGUGCUCACUAAGAUCAUCGUCUCUAUCUAAAAUCUAGGUCAGUUACAUUGAAAAAGUUGUAACACAAGUGACAAGGAAAAAGAGCAAAUUCCUUUUUCUUUAAAGAACCAUCUUUUUCUGCAAAUAUCCAUUUCGCUAGGAAUAAUUUGAUGUGUAACGAUAGAUGGUGUGUAAAAGAUACUGCAAACAUUGAGAUAACAAUCGGCAUACUUCGGAAACGUAAUAUUUACGGCAGGAGAAAGAGAGAUAUUCGCCACGGGAACGUUAGAGAAAUAUACAAUAAGAUGGGCCACGAUUUUGUAACACCGUAGUAACGGCGUGGAUUUUUAGAAAGAAACCGGAACGCAGCGAGAAUAUAUCUAUAAACGAGCCGAGAGAGCAAUGAAAGUCGAAGCCUGUAAGAAAUUUCAGAGAAACCUGAGAACUCUCUACGCGAGAUUUUAUUUCAUGGAACGUGAAAUACAGGCCUUGGAGGAGGUUCAAGGAUCUUUCUCGUUCAAUCUUUAAAUCCACUCUGUUUGUUUUAUUAACGCCUUUAUAAAUAUUCCAAUUUUUAUGUGGCUCAAACUUAAUCAAACAUAAAUUAACGCUAUUAUUUAUCA